rnacentral:rRNA from 1 species
GAACGCGAAAAACCUUACCUGGCCUUGACAUGUACCGAAUUUACCAGAGAUGGUUUAGUGCUCGAAAGAGCAACGGUAACACCAGGUGCUGCAUGCUUGUCGUCAGCUCGUGUCGUGAGAUGUUGGGUUAAGUCCCGCAACGAGCGCAACCCUUGCCAAUAAUUGCCAUCAUUUAGUUGGGCACUUUAUUGGGACUGCCGAUGACAAAUCGGAGGAAGGUGGGGAUGACGUCAAGUCCUCAUGGCCCUUAUGGCCAGGGCUUCACACGUAAUACAAUGGUCGGUACAGAGGGUCGCCAACCCGCGAGGGGGAGCUAACCCCAGAAAGCCGAUCGUAGUCCGGAUUGCAGGCUGCAACUCGCCUGCAUGAAGUCGGAAUCGCUAGUAAUCGCGGAUCAGCAUGUCGCGGUGAAUACGUUCCCGGGUCUUGUACACACC